UUCCGGUUGAUCCUGCCGGACCCGACUGCUAUCAGAGUGAGAUUAAGCCAUGCGAGUUAACGUAGCAAUACGUGGCGCACGGCUCAGUAACACGUAGUCAACAUGCCCAGAGGACGUGGAUAACCUCGGGAAACUGAGUCUAAACCGCGAUAAGUGAGGAUUUCUGGAAUGGUUCCUGACUAAAAUCUAUAUGGCCUCUGGAUUGACUGCGGCCGAUCAGGCUGUUGGUGAGGUAAUGGCCCACCAAACCUGCAACCGGUACGGGCUCUGAGAGGAGGAGCCCGGAGAUGGGCACUGAGACAAGGGCCCAGGCCCUAUGGGGCGCAGCAGGCGCGAAACCUCUGCAAUAGGCGAAAGCCUGACAGGGUUACUCUGAGUGACUUUCGCUAAGAAAGUCUUUUAGCACCUCUAAAAAGAGUGCAGAAUAAGGGGUGGGCAAGUCUGGUGUCAGCCGCCGCGGUAAUACCAGCACCCCGAGUGGUCGGGACGAUUAUUGGGCCUAAAGCAUCCGUAGCCGGUUCUGCAAGUCCCCCGUUAAAUCCAGCUGCUCAACAGAUGGGCCGCGGAGGAUACUACAGAGCUAGGAGGCAGGAGAGGCAAGCGGUACUCAGUGGGUAGGGGUAAAAUCCGUUGAUCCAUUGAAGACCACCAGUGGCGAAGGCGGCUUGCCAGAAUGCGCUCGACGGUGAGGGAUGAAAGCUGGGGGAGCAAACCGGAUUAGAUACCCGGGUAGUCCCAG
rnacentral:rRNA from 1 species